UGCACGUCGUGCGUGCGCCGUGUGUAUGUUGCCUUGUGGAAUAUCUCCCAUAGGUUAUGGAUUUUUCAAUAUUUUCACCUUAAAGGAGUCUUUAAUGUGAAUAUUCACCACCAUAUACCUAUGUUCUAUAAAAAUCAUCUCGGCCAUAUCUCAUUUAAAGUCUUCCGUAAACGCCUUGGGUAAGAAAACUGUACGUAGUAAAAUUCCCCGUUUUAAAACAGAACAAAGGUAGUGUAUCAAAACUCCAUCGCAGCAAACAGCUAAAUGCAUUUCUUUGGACACCAUUUAGCCUUAUAAGGGAUGUUUUGUAGUGAUAAGUAUUGUCGCCUGUGCAUCAGACCGGUUUCCACCAUUUAAAAGCAUCCGGGUCUCUUCCUGCUAGAUAAGACGACUAGUAUUUACUCGACAAAAUGGACGGAUUCUCUAAGAGAUCAAGGCGAUGCCAGCAAUACUGGUCGAUGUUGACACUGUUUGCGCAGGUCUUAGGCCUGAAAGCCGAUAGCAGCAAUGGCGAAUUGAUGGCGAACAGCGUCGUGUCAUGGCUGGCCGAGAACGGAGCGGGGGCGUACAACCGGUUAUAGCAGUGGGCACUCAGAAAAUUCUUCUUUUUAUAAGUUCAAUAGACGCAAGUUAAAGCCAAUAGUUUAAUCCUCAAUGCCCAAUAUUUGAAUAAAACAAAUGAAAGUUUUUAGUAAAGCACAAAAAAUAAUG